rnacentral:rRNA from 1 species
UGGGGAAUCUUCCGCAAUGGACGAAAGUCUGACGGAGCAACGCCGCGUGAGUGAUGACGGCCUUCGGGUUGUAAAGCUCUGUUAAUCGGGACGAAUGGUUCUUGUGCAAAUAGUGCGAGGAUUUGACGGUACCGGAAUAGAAAGCCACGGCUAACUACGUGCCAGCAGCCGCGGUAAUACGUAGGUGGCAAGCGUUGUCCGGAAUUAUUGGGCGUAAAGCGCGCGCAGGCGGAUUGGUCAGUCUGUCUUAAAAGUUCGGGGCUUAACCCCGUGAUGGGAUGGAAACUGCCAAUCUAGAGUAUCGGAGAGGAAAGUGGAAUUCCUAGUGUAGCGGUGAAAUGCGUAGAUAUUAGGAAGAACACCAGUGGCGAAGGCGACUUUCUGGACGAAAACUGACGCUGAGGCGCGAAAGCCAGGGGAGCGAACGGG